UACGAAGGGUGCAAGCGUUACUCGGAAUUACUGGGCGUAAAGCGUGCGUAGGCGGUUUGUUAAGUCUGUCGUGAAAGCCCUGGGCUCAACCUGGGAAUUGCGAUGGAUACUGGCAAGCUAGAGUACGGUAGAGGAUGGUGGAAUUCCCGGUGUAGCGGUGAAAUGCGUAGAGAUCGGGAGGAACACCCGUGGCGAAGGCGGCCAUCUAGACCAGUACUGACGCUGAGGCACGAAAGCGUGGGGAGCAAACAGG
rnacentral:rRNA from 1 species